GGGUUGUGAGGUUAAGCGACUAAGCGUACACGGUGGAUGCCCUGGCAGUCAGAGGCGAUGAAGGACGUGCUAAUCUGCGAUAAGCGUCGGUAAGGUGAUAUGAACCGUUAUAACCGGCGAUUUCCGAAUGGGGAAACCCAGUGUGAUUCGUCACACUAUCAUUGCGUGAAUACAUAGCGUAAUGAAGCGAACCGGGGGAACUGAAACAUCUAAGUACCCCGAGGAAAAGAAAUCAACCGAGAUUCCCCCAGUAGCGGCGAGCGAACGGGGAGCAGCCCAGAGUCUGAAUCAGCAUGUGUGGUAGUGGAACGGUCUGGAAAGUCCGACGGUACAGGGUGAUAGUCCCGUACACAAAAGUGCAUGUGUUGUGAACUCGAAGAGUAGGGCGGGACACGUGGUAUCCUGUCUGAAUAUGGGGGGACCAUCCUCCAAGGCUAAAUACUCCUGACUGACCGAUAGUGAACCAGUACCGUGAGGGAAAGGCGAAAAGAACCCCGGCGAGGGGAGUGAAAAAGAACCUGAAACCGUGUACGUACAAGCAGUGGGAGCCUCUUUAUGGGGUGACUGCGUACCUUUUGUAUAAUGGGUCAGCGACUUAUAUUCUGUAGCAAGGUUAACCGAAUAGGGGAGCCGAAGGGAAACCGAGUCUUAACUGGGCGUUAAGUUGCAGGGUAUAGACCCGAAACCCGGUGAUCUAGCCAUGGGCAGGUUGAAGGUUGGGUAACACUAACUGGAGGACCGAACCGACUAAUGUUGAAAAAUUAGCGGAUGACUUGUGGCUGGGGGUGAAAGGCCAAUCAAACCGGGAGAUAGCUGGUUCUCCCCGAAAGCUAUUUAGGUAGCGCCUCGUGAAUUCAUCUUCGGGGGUAGAGCACUGUUUCGGCUAGGGGGUCAUCCCGACUUACCAACCCGAUGCAAACUGCGAAUACCGAAGAAUGUUAUCACGGGAGACACACGGCGGGUGCUAACGUCCGUCGUGAAGAGGGAAACAACCCAGACCGCCAGCUAAGGUCCCAAAGUCAUGGUUAAGUGGGAAACGAUGUGGGAAGGCACAGACAGCCAGGAUGUUGGCUUAGAAGCAGCCAUCAUUUAAAGAAAGCGUAAUAGCUCACUGGUCGAGUCGGCCUGCGCGGAAGAUGUAACGGGGCUAAACCAUGCACCGAAGCUGCGGCAGCGACACUAUGUGUUGUUGGGUAGGGGAGCGUUCUGUAAGCCGUUGAAGGUGUGCUGUGAGGCAUGCUGGAGGUAUCAGAAGUGCGAAUGCUGACAUAAGUAACGAUAAUGCGGGUGAAAAACCCGCACGCCGGAAGACCAAGGGUUCCUGUCCAACGUUAAUCGGGGCAGGGUGAGUCGACCCCUAAGGCGAGGCCGAAAGGCGUAGUCGAUGGGAAACAGGUUAAUAUUCCUGUACUUGGUGUUACUGCGAAGGGGGGACGGAGAAGGCUAUGUUAGCCGGGCGACGGUUGUCCCGGUUUAAGCAUGUAGGCGGAGAUUCCAGGUAAAUCCGGAGUCUUG
rnacentral:rRNA from 1 species